CGGAUCACGUUUUAAGCAUGCUUCCUCAAGCUGGGACACUCGGCAAGUUAGCUGUGGGCAAGAUGAUGGUUCUCAAGCCGCGGCGUGGCCGCCAUGUGACUGCAGCGUGGCAGUGCCUCGUGGACUCAAGGUCUGUCUUUUCCUAACAAUCACGCAGUCCAUGCCACUUGCUCGCUCCUGCCUGCGUAAAAACUCAGCCCAAGUCCUUUGUUUUCGGAUCCUUUAGGUUUUCACACAGUCCUCUGUCUGCACGUGGUUCUACCCCACCCCCGCGUCUGCUCCUAUGUUUGGUGGAGUCCUUUGUUCGUUAGGGCUCGUGGGGGGAAUAAAAGGUUUAAAGUUUUGCUCCAUGGACAAGUUUAAGUUUCCCUGCGAGAUUUUUGAAGUGUCCACAUCUUCUAUCUCUGCUUUCUCUUCAGCAGUCUCUUUUUCCAAGCAGUUUCACUAAGGGUUCUACUUAACAGAAGUCCUGAAAUAAUUAUUUCUAUCAUUUCCCUUGAAUUUUAACUUCCCAUGCCGGCUUCUUACCUUGAGUUCUCUGUAGCUUUGCCUUUUCUUUCUUUCAAAGCAACUCUGCUAGGUCUUUCAUGUGCACAAUACUUAGAUUCUUGGAGCUCCACGCGGUCCUCUGCACGACAUCCCAGUCGGCUUUUCGCACUGGUUCCCGACGUCCUUUCUUUAAAGACGUUUUCUGCCUGCUUUUAGCUCGGUAUAUGACGUCUGACUUUUUUUUGGAGAGCGUACCAAGUUUUUAAAACAAACCUGUCCGAACGCUACCGAAUUUUUCCUGUUACAAGGCAGUCUCUAAUCAUCCCUGAUACAGGGUUCUGCCCCACGUUGGGCGCCAUUUGUGACGUAUUAAUAUAAUACAAACCACACAGACCUGGCC